rnacentral:tRNA from 3 species
GCUCUCGUAGUUCAACGGAUAGAAUGGGGGAUUGCGGAUCCCCUGAUGCGGGUUCGAUUCCCACCGGGAGCG